rnacentral:sRNA from 1 species
CGAAUUCAGGCGGCCCACUCCUCUUCCCAAAGAGACGUCUGUUGGAACAGCGGCGCACCUCCCCCCAGUCGUUGUUCGAUUCUUUUGGAAAGCCUGCCGCACUUCCUCCCGCGGCAGGCUUUUUUG